rnacentral:rRNA from 1 species
UGGGGAAUUUUGGACAAUGGACGCAAGUCUGAUCCAGCAAUGCCGCGUGCAGGAUGAAGGCCUUCGGGUUGUAAACUGCUUUUGUACGGAGCGAAAAGGUAUGCACUAAUACUGUGUGCCCAUGACGGUACCGUAAGAAUAAGCACCGGCUAACUACGUGCCAGCAGCCGCGGUAAUACGUAGGGUGCGAGCGUUAAUCGGAAUUACUGGGCGUAAAGCGUGCGCGGGCGGUUAUAUAAGUCAGAUGUGAAAUCCCCGGGCUCAACCUGGGACCUGCAUUUGAGACUGUAUAGCUAGAGUACGGUAGAGGGGGAUGGAAUUCCGCGUGUAGCAGUGAAAUGCGUAGAUAUGCGGAGGAACACCGAUGGCGAAGGCAAUCCCCUGGACCUGUUCUGACGCUCAUGCACGAAAGCGUGGGGAGCAAACAGG